rnacentral:rRNA from 1 species
GUGGGGGACAACGUUUCGAAAGGAACGCUAAUACCGCAUACGUCCUAGGUACCCGGGAGAAAGUGGGGGAUCUUCGGACCUCACGCUAUCAGAUGAGCCUAGGUCGGAUUAGCUAGUUGGUGAGGUAACGGCUCACCAAGGCGACGAUCCGUAACUGGUCUGAGAGGAUGAUCAGUCACACUGGAACUGAGACACGGUCCAGACUCCUACGGGAGGCAGCAGUGGGGAAUAUUGGACAAUGGGCGAAAGCCUGAUCCAGCCAUGCCGCGUGUGUGAAGAAGGCCCUCGGGUCGUAAAGCACUUUAAGCUGGGAGGAAGGGUUGUAACCUAAUACGUUGCAGCUUUGACGUUACCAGCAGAAUAGCUGACCGGCUAACUCUGUGCCAGCAGCCGCGGUAAUACAGAGGGUGCAAGCGUUAACGGAAUUACUGGGCGUAAAGCGCGCGUAGGUGGCUUGGUAAGUUGAAUGUGAAAUCCCCGGGCUCAACCUGGGAACUGCAUCCAAAACUGCCUGGCUAGAGUACGGUAGAGGGUGGUGGAAUUUCCUGUGUAGCGGUGAAAUGCGUAGAUAUAGGAAGGAACACCAGUGGCGAAGCGACCNCCUGGACUGAUACUGACACUGAGGUGCGGAAAGCGUGGGGAGCUUCGUGGAUUAGAUACCCUGGUAGUCCACGCCGUAAACGAUGUCAACUAGCCGUUGGGGUCCUUGAGACUUUAGUGGCGCAGCUAACGCAAUAAGUUGACCGCCCUGGGAGUACGGCCGCAAGGUUAAAACUCAAAUGAAUUGACGGGGGCCCGCACAAGCGGUGGAGCAUGUGGUUUAAUUCGAAGCAACGCGAAGAACCUUACCAGGCCUUGACAUGCAGAGAACUUUCCAGAGAUGGAUUGGUGCCUUCGGGAACUCUGACACAGGUGCUGCAUGGCUGUCGUCAGCUCGUGUCGUGGCUGCAUUGGGUUAAGUCCCGUAACGAGCGCAACCCUGUCCUUAGUUACCAGCACAUUAUGGUGGGCACUCUAAGGAGACUGCCGGUGACAAACCGGAGGAAGGUGGGGAUGACGUCAAGUCAUCAUGGCCCUUACGGCUGAGGCUACACACGUGCUACAAUGGUCGGUACAAAGGGUUGCCAAGCCGCGAGGUGGAGCUAUUGAUCAUCCCAUAAAACCGAUCGUAGUCCGGAUC